GAGGCACGGUUCGCCAGUCGCCGCAGGGAGAAGGAGGGCUCGCUGUGCCGCUGUGCGAGACGGGCCAGGCGGCGUUCAACCUGAGGAGGCGGCGGCGUUGCGGGUGGAGAGAGGCUGCGUGGCGUAGUCUAACUCCCGAUGGACUCGAGAGUCUGUACAGACCUGCACUCCAAGCACUCAUGUGAUUGGAGUCGCUGGGAUUUCUAUCUUUCAUACCCUUCCCUUUCCUGUUCUAGCUGCUACUCCUACAGUGGAAGGUCGCGUACCAUCGUUUCUACGUCCUACAACGACCACUCGCCCCUCCGAUGGAAGUACCCGCUCCUCGUAACCUGUCACUACUAAACGAAAUGGAAUUUCUCGUUUACCUCCGACUCCUUCUACGUCUCGCAGAGGAGGCAGCAUGUCUCUUCGCCCGUAAACGACGGAAAUUCGUUCGUCGUCAAGAUCGACUAAGACGUGGAGGAUAAGGACGCCGAGAAGCGCAGCUCGGAUCUGGGUUUUCACUAUAUUCCGUUGCACUAGAGAACUUCUUCUAACAACUCUAGUUUGGUUUCGCUCGUUUUCAGUCGUCGGGAGCUGUUUGUCGUCUCCCGCUAUCUGGAUUCGUCCUUGUUCUUCUAAGACACUCCUUUUACAGAUGCGGACUUCCACUUUUACUUGGCAGAGUUCCCGGUCAGUCGAAACACGUUGGAGACAGUUUUGGUCCACUAGGUCGCCUCCGGUUCAGCGUCGUACGUCGACAUUCGAAUGAACCAAAUCGCAUACUCUCAAGCCUGCUCCUUAUCAGCCACCGCACCUCUUUAACCACAUCUGAGGCACAACUUCAAAAAAUUCAAGAGAACGAUCUGAGACAACAUAGUAGUCUUCCUAUUUCUUGAAUACGGCCGUAACUAAUCCACAGCGACGACCUUUAGUUCGGACUCAAUGACUAACCCAUCUGAUAUUAGAACGUCUUGAUAUAUACACUAACGAUUACCAUAUGUUC
rnacentral:rRNA from 1 species